ACAGGGGAGGGACUUCAGAGCUGGGCCUGCGCCUGCGGGGCCGUACGAGUUGGCCCGGAGCAAGGCGGCCCAGGACAGGCAGGGGCUGCACGCGGUGAAGAAACCAAGACGCAGAGAGGCCAAGCCCCUUGCCUUGGGUCACACAGCCAAAGGAGGCAGAGCCAGAACUCACAACCAGAUCCAGAGGCAACAGGGACAUGGCCACCUGGGACGAAAAGGCGGAGUCUCACUCUGUCGCCCAGGCUGGAGUGCAGUGGCACGAUCUCGGCUCACUGCAACCUCCAUCUCCUGGGUUCACGCCAUUCUCCUGCCUCAGCCUCCUGAGUAGCUGGGACUACAGGCGCUGGCCACUAUGCCUGGCUAAUUUUUUUGUAUUUUUUUUUAGUAGAGAUGGGGUUUCACCAUGUUAGCCAGGAUGGUCUCAAUCUCCUGACCUUGUGAUCCGCCCGCCUCAGCCUCCCAAAGUGCUGGGAUUACAGGCAUGAGCCACUGUGCCCAGCCUCAUUGAUCUUUUCUUUGGUAAUAUGUUAUCAGCUGUU
rnacentral:lncRNA from 1 species